CCGCGUUCCUCCCCGAGAAAUGGCCUCCUCAGGUGGGAAACCAUUGGGGACCGAUGUCUGCACUGAGCGCCGCUCUGAAUGCAUUCCUCAUUCAGAUGUGGAAGGUUCCUAGUUUCCUGUCUAUGGAGCCAGUGCUCUGCUGGACCCCAGUGCCACUCACUUGCUAAGAAACAGGCUGAGCUGAUUUAAGGCAGUCAUCGGUUUUGCAGCUACAGUCAGAUCUUUAACAGCCACCUGUUGCAGGAUGUGUUUGAACAGGACCUCCUCUAAGAGAAAGAAAAACCCCACAUCCUUGCUCUGUGUGCAGCUUUUGGUUCCCUGCUGUGAGAUACGAAGCACAGAACAAGCAGAAGCCCAUCAGCAGUGCUGGAUAUUUGCAGGAGAUGCCAUGCAAGAUGGACUGAGAGUCUCAGGCAGACAGAAAGCAACACAGAGAGCCAAGAGGUGCCCGCGUCACACAUUAAAGAUCGGGCCGGCUUGAUACGGAGUCACGGGAAGCAAACUCAGAGCUCUGCAGAGCUGUUUGCACAGUCACUCCAUUGACUUGGAACAACGCAACGGACUUUUAAGCUUAACUAGAAUGGGACAAGGAAAGCAACAAGGAAAGCUCCAGAAGGACUGGUAGGACGUGACAUGGCUGUCCUGAAAUGCGUGUAUCUGUUUGCAGCUGCUGUCUGAUCGUCAAUAAUUGAAGAGCCCGAAGGGGAGGAGGGAGCACUGAGCGGUGCAGGAGCUUUUGUUCGAAGCAGCCCUGUGUCCAAUCUCUCUCCAGUCUGUAAAUUAAGGCCGUUUCUUUGGCAGGGAAGCCUACCCGCCCAGGCAGGUGCAGACUGUUGUAUUUAUGGGCAAGGCUGUGAAGAUACCACCGACAUUUUUGAGCUGGUCUACCAGUUAGCACCAGCUCCAUGUCAGCUGCACCAACACCUGACCCGUGGUGCUUGCAGCCUGGCUCUGACUGCACCGUUUCUGCCAGAGCAGUGAACACAGGAUGCAGGAAUUGGCAUCCCCUCAACACUUUGGAUCUGAUUUCAGUGUUUCCCUUCACUGGGAAAUGCCCUGAGCCCUGGCCACGAUCUAUAGGCUCAUAGACUAACUGUGCAUCACACAAACAUAGGUCUGUAAGACGCAAACUAUGACUGUUUUCUAAGUUGAACUGUGAAUUUUGCUGGAAACUGGUUUUUAACUUGUGGAAUAGGUUUUUCCUAUGUUUGUGCUUUAGAUCCUGGUAUGCAACAGUUCAGCUUUACCAGCUACUCUGAUAGCUUUAUUUACAGCACAGCGCAUGGCAGCAAGGCACUGCUGCCUUUACGCCUUCUAUUUCACUAUGCCAAAUGCUUGUGGAGUAUAGGGACUGCUAUGAUGCUGGUAUUGGCCAGGGGUUCCUUAAAUCAUAUGAAGAGGCUUGAGCAGGCCAAGCAGAUAUCUACAGCCAUUCCAAUUGCUCAAACAAAGUGAGGAAAGCGGAAUAGAAAACUUCACGAGAAGCAACAGCUUCCCCAUUUUAGAGACUUUUACCUCUUGAGUUAGCAAUGAGCAUUCUUGAACACAACGCUGAGUUCCAAUAAAGGAUUGCAGUGUUGUGUUUAUAUUUACCAAAGUUAUUGCAUUACCAGGUCAGGUAAUGAUUCCCAUUAGUGGUGAGCUUAGUCACUCCGUGGAUUAACUCCUAUCACGUGAUGUGCCUCAUAAGGAGUACGAGUGCUGAACAGUCAGACAUGAGAUCAUCUCAUCCAGGUGCACAGCAUAGAAAAAUCUCUUUUCAUUGCAGGCAAAUAAUAUGUUUUGUUCCUGAGGCGAGUCUGAAACUACAGAAGCAGAACAGAGAACAAGCUGCAAAGAAACAAAAACUCUGCACAAGGGAAAAACAGAGUGGGAAAACCCAAAGUCCUGACUUUGCUACAGGCAGUUCUGGCACUCCGUGGCCAUUCAGCGCACCGCUCAGAUAGGGAACUAAAUUGUGCUCAUACAGAACCAGCAGCACAAAUGGUUGCAUUUCACAGCACCUGCCUUAAAAAUCCAAAAUCCAAACAGCAGCAAACGUGAGAACUAAUUUAGGAAGAAAUAUUGACAUUAACACCUAUGUUUUCUGUCUAUUCCUACGCACUGCAUCUUCCUGUUCCCCAGAAUCAGAUUUUUGCUCAUGACAAAGCUGUGCUUCCACAACACAAUGAAGAAACAUCGUUCACCUGA